CAGGCUUUUAACAAGUCAGCUCCUCUGAAAUGCAUUAGCGGUACCCUAGUGGUUAACAGCUAUUGGUGUGAUAACUAUCUACGCCAUUAGAAGUGCCACAACUAUAUAAUAGGGUUAUGCUGCUGUCUAACCGUCUACUUGCUAGACAACUAUUUGACAAUCUUGGCCUCAAAUCAGGUAGGACUACCCGCUGAACUUAA
rnacentral:misc_RNA from 1 species